CGCUAGUAUCUCUGUGUCCAUGAAUCGUGCUAAAAAGUUAGUAAAAAAAAUUUGUUAAGCUUAAUUCUUGCAGUUUUAAUUUGAUCGAAAUAUCAGUUCAGCUAGUAGUUACACCUGAAAUUUGGAGUGUGACUAUUUGAAUAUGAUAUCCAGAAGUGCGGUGGAUAUAUAUACAUUGUAUAUUACAUACAUAUAAUUUAUAUAAUUUAUGUAUAUAUAUAAUAUAUAGGAAAGUGUUUUGUUUCAUUAUGUUGUACACAUACUUACACUUCGAAAAUCACGUGAGCUCGGCCAAUGGCUUAUUUAUUGAAACGAUACCCUCUUUGUACUCCGAAAUUUUUCAAAUCUCUGCUUUCUUUUCCGACUCAUAAUCAGACGAAACAAAGCAAGAUUUUCAAUCGAAACGAGGAUCGAUCGUCACGUUGUUUGGUCUCUCGUGUCAUUGGAUUUGAAGUUGCGCAAGACGUUCUAAACAAGGACAAAGUUGUCUUGCUCCGUAUCUUAGAAAAAGAGAAAGAAAAAGAAAAAUAGAAUCUCAACUGAAUUAAAUUAUAAACUCGCGAGGAACGACCAAGGCCCCCAAGGAUGGAUAGCAGCUCUUUGUUUUCUCGAUUCUAGUUAACGACGAACGUGAACGAAUUGUAAAUGCUACUUAUACGAAACUUGGUUUCCAAUGUCGAAUGCCAAUGUUAUCUCUCCAGGUGGGUAUAUUUUUCACGAUACAGAGAGAUGGAGGAAAGAAAAGGAAGGGAAUGGAGAGAAUUUUUCACCGUUUUCAAAUGACAAACAGAUAGAGAUUUCGUAUUGUUUGUCUGACCAUCUCUCUUUGAUCGAUAAUGAAAGACAGAACGAUUCUUAAUAAUAAUAAAUAUGAUUAUGGUGAUUUUUAAUAAACAUGAUUACAGUGAUUUGUAAUAAACAUGAUUACAGUGAUUUUCGAAUUACGGGGCAUCGCUGUUAUCACGAGUGGAUAUACUUUAUCAACGCGAGCCUUAAUUAACGACAUUUCUCAAUCUCACUUUGUAAAUGUGCGAGCAAGCAUUUUUUUUCUCUCUUUUUUUUUUUCGUGUCACAUGGAGAUUAAAAACGCGCGGUACACACUGGCACUGAAGAUCAAGUGCGAGAUACGUGCACAGAGUAAAUAAGUGCUUACUUCCACGUGCAUGUAGGGCAUCUUGACCCACUUUCCGGACAGAGAGUCCGUUUCGCUUUCUUCUACGAAACUGAAAGCGAUUCUGUCUCCCUUUCAUUUUGAAGCGCUCGUUUGCAUGCAAACACUCGCGAAUAAUCGAAUUUUAAAUGAAAAACGGAGAAGAGAAAGAGAAAGACAGCAAAAAAGGAAAGGAAAGACAAAGAACAAACGAAGAGAGGGGACUUCUUUUCAAGCGUUUCCCUUUUUUUAUUUACCGUUUUGCAUAAAUUAAUUCAAUCUAAAUUUAGUUUGGAUACAAUCUUCUUCAAGUUUCUUGCAGAACUGAUGAAAAGCGAAGAUAUGUGCGAGAUAUCCUGCCUGUAGAGAUGAAACAUUCAACAGCGGAUGCAAAUAAUCACGUUUGACAGCCUUUCAUCAGCUUUUUACCAAGUAUUAAUAAUUAAUAAUUAAUAACAUGCACUAGCAACAUUAUUCUUCAUCUCUUUUCCUCUUCUUUGAUCGUUUUUCUAGGUCUCGUGUGAUUUCAUAUUUCCUGAAUAUGAAACUACUCCUCUUUCUGCGGUAGCGCGACAAGUAUCUGUCACUUUAACGAGGUCUAAAGUCAAUCAGUAUCGAGUUACACAGUUUUUUGCUCCUCCGAGUCAGAAGAGAAAGAGAGAAAGAGAGGAAGAGAUAAGAAAUGAAAAUGUUCCUCGCAUUUUAAAUUUAUCUCGA